CCUACGGGAGGCUGCAGUGGGGAAUAUUGCACAAUGGGCGCAAGCCUGAUGCAGCCAUGCCGCGUGUGUGAAGAAGGCCUUCGGGUUGUAAAGCACUUUCAGCGGGGAGGAAGGCGUUAAGGUUAAUAACCUUGUCGAUUGACGUUACCCGCAGAAGAAGCACCGGCUAACUCCGUGCCAGCAGCCGCGGUAAUACGGAGGGUGCAAGCGUUAAUCGGAAUUACUGGGCGUAAAGCGCACGCAGGCGGUCUGUCAAGUCGGAUGUGAAAUCCCCGGGCUCAACCUGGGAGCUGCAUUCGAAACUGGCAGGCUAGAGUCUUGUAGAGGGGGGUAGAAUUCCAGGUGUAGCGGUGAAAUGCGUAGAGAUCUGGAGGAAUACCGGUGGCGAAGGCGGCCCCCUGGACAAAGACUGACGCUCAGGUGCGAAAGCGUGGGGAGCAAACAGGAUAGAUACCCGAGUAGUC
rnacentral:rRNA from 1 species